GUCCACGCCGUAAACGAUGGAUACUAGCUGUUGGGCGCAAGUUCAGUGGCUAAGCGAAAGUGAUAAGUAUCCCACCUGGGGAGUACGUUCGCAAGAAUGAAACUCAAAGGAAUUGACGGGGGCCCGCACAAGCGGUGGAGCAUGUGGUUUAAUUCGAUGAUACGCGAGGAACCUUACCAAGGCUUAAAUGUAGAUUGACCGGACUGGAAACAGUUUUUUCGCAAGACAAUUUACAAGGUGCUGCAUGGUUGUCGU
rnacentral:rRNA from 1 species